rnacentral:piRNA from 1 species
UGGCUGUGCCACCAUAGGUUGGGAGAACAC